rnacentral:rRNA from 1 species
GACGAACGCUGGCGGCGUGCUUAACACAUGCAAGUCGAACGGAAAGGCCCUGCUUUUGUGGGGUGCUCGAGUGGCGAACGGGUGAGUAACACGUGAGUAACCUGCCCUUGACUUUGGGAUAACUUCAGGAAACUGGGGCUAAUACCGGAUAGGAGCUCCUGCUGCAUGGUGGGGGUUGGAAAGUUUCGGCGGUUGGGGAUGGACUCGCGGCUUAUCAGCUUGUUGGUGGGGUAGUGGCUUACCAAGGCUUUGACGGGUAGCCGGCCUGAGAGGAUGACCGGGCCCAUUGGGACUGAGAUAGGGCCCAGACUCCUACGGGGGGCAGCAGUGGGGAAUAUUGCAAAAUGGGCGGAAGCCUGAUGCAGCAACGCCGCGUGCGGGAUGACGGCUUGCGGGUUGUAAACCGGUUUCGCAUGUGACGAAGCGUGAGUGACGGUAAUGGGUAAAGAAGCACCGGCUAACUACGUG